UACAGAGGGUGCGAGCGUUAAUCGGAAUUACUGGGCGUAAAGCGCGCGUAGGCGGCUUUGCAAGUCGGGUGUGAAAUCCCCAGGCUUAACCUGGGAACUGCAUUCGAGACUGCAUUGCUAGAGUAUGGGAGAGGGAAGUGGAAUUUCCGGUGUAGCGGUGAAAUGCGUAGAUAUCAGGAAGAACACCUAUGGCGAAGGCAGCACUCUGGGACGGUACUGACGCUGAGACGCGAAAGCGUGGGGAGCGAACAGG
rnacentral:rRNA from 1 species